rnacentral:rRNA from 1 species
ACGAGAAUCUGCGGAAAGAGGAUUCGUCCAAUUGAAGCAGAGGACAGUGGCGGACGGGUGAGUAACGCGUGAGGAACCUGCCUUUCAGAGAGGGACAACAGUUGGAAACGACUGCUAAUACCGCAUGACAUAUAGAUGUCGCAUGGCAUUUAUAUCAAAGAUUUAUCGCUGAAAGAUGGCCUCGCGUCUGAUUAGCUAGUUGGUGAGGUAACGGCCCACCAAGGCGACGAUCAGUAGCCGGACUGAGAGGUUGGACGGCCACAUUGGGACUGAGAUACGGCCCAGACUCCUACGGGAGGCAGCAGUGGGGAAUAUUGGGCAAUGGGCGCAAGCCUGACCCAGCAACGCCGCGUGAAGGAAGAAGGCUUUCGGGUUGUAAACUUCUUUUGUCAGGGACGAGUAGAAGACGGUACCUGACGAAUAAGCCACGGCUAACUACGUGCCAGCAGCCGCGGUAAUACGUAGGUGGCAAGCGUUGUCCGGAUUUACUGGGUGUAAAGGGCGUGUAGCCGGGAGGGCAAGUCAGAUGUGAAAUCCACGGGCUCAACUCGUGAACUGCAUUUGAAACUACUCUUCUUGAGUAUCGGAGAGGCAAUCGGAAUUCCUAGUGUAGCGGUGAAAUGCGUAGAUAUUAGGAGGAACACCAGUGGCGAAGGCGGAUUGCUGGACGACAACUGACGGUGAGGCGCGAAAGCGUGG